UUCAAUUUUAAAAAUUUUGGAAAGAAAAAAUUCCCCUCCCCCCCUUCCAUAAAUAAUGACCGGUCCCUAAUAUGGUAUUUCACUUUUCCACGACACUGUUGAAGUCAUUUUGUCUUGCAGGCAAAUACCAUGGUGAGAAACUGUUCGUAGCUAACUGUUAUCCAGCCAUUCAAGUUGUAAUCAUGUUGUUUGAAAGCAUUUGUCAAAGUCUAAAAAGUUAGAGAAAUUAAUACGAGUAUUAUUGUGAUAUAAUAUGUUGGGACGGGGGCGGAUGGGUGGUGAGUAAACCUAGUAUUAAAAGCUUUAUUGGCGGAGGGCAUCGCCUCAAUUCUUGCAAGAGGGCUCACUGUUGCAUUUUUCGCAGCUGCUCCUGUUUAAGUGUAAAAACGUAUGUUUAGUAUAUUUAGAUUCUUGUUAUUGUAUGGAAAUUGACAUUUCUCCUGGGACAUGUUGAUUGGAAAAGUUCCUGUGAGUAGAAGGCGACCAGAUUAAGGUUUGUGUAUGAAGGCCCAUUUCGAACCCUAAAAAUAUUUCAUAGUUGAUUUCCCAUAACUUUUCCCUAACUAAAUGUUUAAUUAAUAACUAAAUUAAAUACCACGUAAUUGCACUAGUUACUAUGAGGAGUGUUAUUCGCGCGCAAUGCUGACACCAACUAGGGGGGAGGCGAAGGCGAGACUGAAAUUUUCAGCGCGAAAUCUUACAUUUUACUAUAUGCGUAAAGAAACCUAAGCAAGUUUGAACAUUGGAAUAAUAAUAUCGG